rnacentral:rRNA from 1 species
UACGAAGGGGGCUAGCGUUGCUCGGAAUCACUGGGCGUAAAGGGUGCGUAGGCGGGUCUUUAAGUCAGGGGGGAAAUCCUGGAGCUCAACUCCAGAACUGCCUUUGAUACUGAGGAUCUUGAGUUCGGGAGAGGUGAGUGGAACUGCGAGUGUAGAGGUGAAAUUCGUAGAUAUUCGCAAGAACACCAGUGGCGAAAGCGGCUCACUGGCCCGAUACUGACGCUGAGGCACGAAAGCGUGGGGAGCAAACAGG